GGGAUGGAGCAGCCCGGUAGCUCGUCAGGCUCAUAACCUGAAGGUCGUAGGUUCAAAUCCUACUCCCGCAACCA
rnacentral:tRNA from 2 species